GAAAAGAUCAGGCUGAACUCCAGAGUUCGACUUGGCAUACACGUGAUAUUGUAUUUUGCACACAAGCGAAAAGUGAAAGAAAAGACUGGAUAAAAACAUGAAACAAAUGGGUUGCAACUAGUGCAAUGCAACUAGUAUGACUAGGACACAGCAGACUACUUCUAGUCACUCACACAGUCCCAUAUAGACAUUUCUGGCUAAACAUCAACCAGUUUGUGCCGGAGGCCACAAGGACAUAUCCUACAUUCCCUCCUUUCUCUCUUGACUGAAUCCCGGGCUAGUGAGGGGUUACACGAAACAAACAAUAACAAAACUCUAAUUCAGCACAAUAAACACACAAAACACAUAACAAGAAGCUUCAUUUUAUGGUAAGUACAUUCAUUCAUAUUAGUUCACCAUGUUAACUCUUUUCUGUCUUUCCCUACAGGUUCCCAAAUCCCACCUCAACCCCUUCUACACACAGCCAUAGGCUCUACCGGCCAGUAUUGGGGAAGCCCCGGAAGGCACUCACACUCCCCUGAGUAUCAGGACAGAAUGAGAACAAGAUGGUCAACACCUUUGUAGGACUGCAGCUCAGAUGGGAAUCAAUUUUAACUGAUACACUAAACUAAAAAACUGAUAAACUAACACAAAGGAGGAGAGAGAAGACAUUUGGAGAAACAGAAGUGCUGGAAGACUGUGCCUGUGUGCAUACUGUAAGCCUCGAGGUCUUUUUACCAUAAAACACAAGUGGACUGGAGCCGUUUUGUUUUCACAAUGCACCAAUCAACUGGACGACAAAACAAUUACAAACGAACCGAACUGAGACCGCGUUAUUUUAGUUGUCUACGACAGCAUAUUG